AGCCUGCGAGGGGGAGGCGAAUCCCAAAAAUAAACGUCCCAGUUCGGAUUGUAGUCUGCAACCCGACUACAUGAAGCUGGAAUCGCUAGUAAUCGCGGAUCAGAAUGCCGCGGUGAAUACGUUCCCGGGUCUUGUACACACCGCCCGUCACACCAUGAGAGUCGGGAACACCCGAAGUCCGUAGUCUAACCGCAAGGGGGGCGCGGCCGAAGGCAGGCCUGGUGACUGGGGUGAAGUCGUAACAAGGUAUC
rnacentral:rRNA from 1 species